CACGGAGGAGGUGGUGACGCCGCUGCUUUUCCUGCGCAUCAGCGGCGCCGAUGGGCCUGGGGGUGCGUGUCACAGUGUCAUCUAGUGGCCGGUGUCCACCUUCUCGGCGGGGCGACAGCAUACAGCAACGACUCUAAUCCCCCAAGGCUGAAAUCCUAUGCAGGUUGUCAGUGCUUCUUCAGAGACAGUGAUGGUCAUGCACCUCGUGGAGCACAGUCCUAUCCCCAAGCGGUUUCAUUAGACAUUAUGAUGUAGGCAUCAGGGCAUCCUGAGGAGAAUAUUGCCACUACAGAAGGUCCAGCUGAGCGGCGCACGCCUAGUCUGCCUCAGCACAACCAGACAGCAUCUGAGAGAAGCACAUUAUGCUAGCAGUGGUUUUGUACUGAAAAGAUUAGGAAAGACAUACACUGUUUUGUCACCGAAGUUGCAAAGACAAAAAGGUGGAAGUCAAUAAUGGUUAUUAAGACAGGGCUACACCAAGGCAAGAAUAUUGGCUUCUGAUGAAAGCAAGCAUAGAUUAUGAUUUCACACUUUACUAAUGCUCCAUACUCCACUGAAUGUUCCAGAUACACUGAUUUACAAGGGAGAGUUUUAUCAGUAGUUUUCCAUUUAGACACAGCUCUUCAAUAAUAAAAUUGUACACAAGAGUUACAUCAUUACAACAAUAACAACAGUAAAUUUUCUUGUACAGAUGAACCCAUUGGGACAAAUAACUGUGAUGUUUGCCCUGAUCAAAGAUAGUCAGUACCAAUGCCUACAGAUUAAAGUCAUCUCUUAACUUCCUACUCUAA